UUUGGGAAAUGAUGCUAUAUAAUCCUCGACAUAGGUUGAAGCUCUGCUGAAUUUAUUGUAUUUGCACGUCAGUCUGAUCCCAAG
rfam:Lupinus angustifolius cultivar Tanjil contig_22744, whole genome shotgun sequence.